rnacentral:rRNA from 1 species
AUUGAACGCUGGCGGCAGGCCUAACACAUGCAAGUCGAACGGUAACAGGAAGAAGCUUGCUUCUUUGCUGACGAGUGGCGGACGGGUGAGUAAUGUCUGGGAAACUGCCUGAUGGAGGGGGAUAACUACUGGAAACGGUAGCUAAUACCGCAUAACGUCGCAAGACCAAAGAGGGGGACCUUCGGGCCUCUUGCCAUCGGAUGUGCCCAGAUGGGAUUAGCUAGUAGGUGGGGUAACGGCUCACCUAGGCGACGAUCCCUAGCUGGUCUGAGAGGAUGACCAGCCACACUGGAACUGAGUCACGGUCCAGACUCCUACGGGAGGCAGCAGUGGGGAAUAUUGCACAAUGGGCGCAAGCCUGAUGCAGCCAUGCCGCGUGUAUGAAGAAGGCCUUCGGGUUGUAAAGUACUUUCAGCGGGGAGGAAGGGAGUAAAGUUAAUACCUUUGCUCAUUGACGUUACCCGCAGAAGAAGCACCGGCUAACUCCGUG